ensembl:lncRNA
CUUUACCUGUAAUAUCCACUUCUGAAGCCACAACAUACACUACAACUGGUAAGUUCCUGAUAAAACAUUUUCAGGUUAUUACAUUAUUCUUAAAUUAGAAAAACAAUUCCCUUCUGAAAAAUGAUUCCCCUUGCCAUUUUUAUUUUAUUUUAUUUUAUUUUAUUUUAUUUUUAAAAUUAUUUUAUUUUAUUUUAUUUUAUAUACAUACAUAUACUNNNUUUAUGUGUGUGUAUAUAUAUAUGUAUAUUAGAAAUAUGUAAUCAUAUAUAUAUAUAUAUAUAUAUAAUUGCUAUAUUAUGAUUUAAUAUUAAUAGCAGUACUACAGAAUUUUAUUUCUAAACUAAAUGAACGCUGUAACAUUGUUGUAACCUAUUUUACAUCUUAACAGUGACCUCUACUGGAGAAGCUUUGGCAACAACCACACAAACUGAUCCAUUGCUUUAUUUCUGUCUGGACUCAUAGGAUUCAUCUGUCUGUGCCGCUUUACCAGUUCUGCUGAUGUUCUCACAGAACUGAACUUGACCUCCUGCCAGAUGGAAACAACAUCUCUUUUAACUUCCUCUGUGUGCUCCUCAAAACAUGAAUGACCUGUUUGUUCUUCACUGCAUAUUAAAUCUAAUUUCUAUAGCCUAGUUUUUACACUUUUUUUAAUCAGCUAGUUUAAUAUACACGCACAUGCAAGUUCUAACAAAAAAGUUCAUAUUUUCACUGCAAUUGUUAUAGUUUUGUUUGUUUUAUAUCCUCUGUCAAACAGUUGUCUGACCAAUGAACAAAUUAAUAAUUUGUGUGCUUUUAUAAUUUCCAUAUUAUUAAAUUUGAUAUCAUAAUCUAGUCUAUGUUCAAGUCUAAUAGUAGUAUUUUUGGCAUAUUUAAAUGUUACUUUAAAAAAAAAUUACCUUCUGUCUUCAGUAUAUGAGUUUGAGCACAAAAUGUGCCCCAGAUCUGCCUUCUGUUAACAUGAAUUUGAGUUGUACAUGUGAUCACAUGAUCUACAUUCAUAGAACUGACUGCACAAUGGAUAAAAAUGGCUUCCUGUGGUCUGAUGCCCUACUUCCUAAUUCCUCUAUUGUACGUGUCAUCUCUUUUCUGACACUCGCUGUAAUGGAGUUGAUCGUUUUCAUAGUGAUUCAGCUCCUGAUGGAGGUUCAGUCCUACACAUCUCCUAGUGUAAAAGUAUCUCCAGAUGUCAUAAGAGAGUCCAGCUCAGUGAAGAUCAGAUGUGAGAUGCCAGCAGGUGAUCCUGUGAAUCAGUGUUAUUUCUACAUAAACAGUGAGGAGAAGAAUGUAAAAACCAGUUAUAGAUGUGAGCUCGAGCUCAAUGGUGCUGAAGUGUUCAGAUGGGCAGCUGUAAAAUCACCUGAAUCACUCAACAUUAUCUGUUACUACACAAUACAGGGGAUUAAUAAAACAUCACCUCAUUCUCCUCCUGCCACAGUGACGGUUCGAGCUUUAACUGUAAUGUCCACUUCUGAAUCCACAACACACAGUAAACUGACCUCCAAUCCAAGACAAACAGCAUGACAAAGGAAACCAUGGCAGCCUCUACUCUGCCUGAUUCCACCAGAGAGACAGAAACAUGGAGGCUAAGUAUAUUUUUGCUUUGCUUAUUAGAGAAUAUUAAAUUUGUGUUAAAUGUUUCAAUAAAAGUACUAUUUUCUCACA